AGCAGCCGCGGUAAUUCCAGCUCCAAUAGCGUAUAUUAAAGUUGUUGCAGUUAAAAAGCUCGUAGUUGAAUUUCGGAAUUUUUUUAUCGGUUGAAUCAACAGGUUCGUACUGAUUUUAAGAAUUUCUACCUUCUGGAGAACCUUAAUGUCAUUAAUUUGGUGUUUUGGGAAACCAGGACUGUUACCUUGAAAAAAUUAGAGUGUUUAAAGCAGGCUUAUGUCUGAAUAUAUUAGCAUGGAAUAAUGAAAUAGGACGGCAUGGUUCUAUUUUGUUGGUUUCUAGGAUCACCGUAAUGAUUAAUAGGGAUAGUUGGGGGCAUUAGUAUUCAAUUGUCAGAGGUGAAAUUCUUGGAUUUAUUGAAGACUAACUUCUGCGAAAGCAUUUGCCAAGGAUGUUUUCAUUAAUCAAGAACGAAAGUUAGAGGUUCGAAGGCGAUCAGAUACCGCCCUAGUUCUAACCAUAAACGAUGUCGACUGGCGAUCCGCUAUCGUUAACUGAAUAGACUUAGCGGGNACGCCU
rnacentral:rRNA from 1 species